rnacentral:rRNA from 1 species
UACGUAGGGUGCAAGCGUUAAUCGGAAUUACUGGGCGUAAAGCGUGCGCAGGCGGUUUUGUAAGUCUGUCGUGAAAUCCCCGGGCUCAACCUGGGAAUUGCGAUGGAGACUGCAAGGCUAGAAUCUGGCAGAGGGGGGUAGAAUUCCACGUGUAGCAGUGAAAUGCGUAGAGAUGUGGAGGAACACCGAUGGCGAAGGCAGCCCCCUGGGCUAACACUGACGCUCAUGCACGAAAGCGUGGGGAGCAAACAGG